rnacentral:snRNA from 1 species
AUAUUUACUGGCAGCGGGUAUACUGUAAUCACGAAGGUGGAUUUUGGAGGGCAAGCCUCAUCCAUUGCACUCCAGAUACGUUAGCGCCAUUGAUUCGUCCAUAACUGCAGAAUUUGUGGGCGUGGGGGACUGCAUUUGCACUCUCCUU